GUCUCUCAGGAGACGUUCGAUAAAAUUAGAACGAUAUAAAGAAGAUUAAUAUAAUCUUUACGUAAGAAUGACAUGUAACAAUCUAGAAAUAAUUUAAUAACUU